GAUAGAGCAUCUUGGAUCUGGUUGUGCUACUUUGGGGAUUAGAGCGAUAUGGGUCCUAUUCAAGUCAGGAUCGAGAGUGCCUUGGCUGAAGAAGGAGUCUACCAAUCUGAGAAUAUCAUCUCGGACCACCUGCCACUGGCUUUGGUUUUGGCUCCAGUGUAAGGAGCAAGGGGCUGUGAUCCGAACCAAUCGCCGGUAGAGCGAGAACCUCUGCGUUUGGAAAUUGUACUCUCCAUGCCCAAUUACAUAAAGCUCUGUCAAGCCUUUUCUUCACUAGGUCAUUUC